ensembl:processed_transcript B230216N24Rik RIKEN cDNA B230216N24 gene
UGCAUAUCAAAAAUAAGUGAAGGUCUUGGAGAGAAUGAACAUGCACGGCUUCCGGAAGACUAUUUGCACCCUAGGAAAGAGUAAGACCACAGGCCCUGGUAUAAGUGUGUACCAUCAAGGUCAGUAUGCCUAGGGCUGAGCAAGUGAGCUGAAAUUAAUCAAGAGAGGAGGUGAGUGGGUACCAGGAUGGAGCGCCUACCAUCAGUUAGCACUCCUUAUGAGAGUAGGAGACACCGGGGAGGAUUUGCCUGGGAGCAAUGUGGUCUGCUUUGCCGUUCACAGGACCCACCUUGCCUGCAGCUUUGAUAAAAGAUGCUAAGAGGCCAAGAAUUCAAGUUUAGGGGCUAUGGAAAUGAGCCUUGAUAGUUUUUAUGGGAGGUGUCAGGGACAGCAGAACAGUGGGUCAGAAGUUGAGUAUACUUUGAGUCCAGCAUUGAAAUGUUUACUGAAAGAUUGGGUGUAGGUAAGGAAGAGAGGGAACUAAAGGUAACUGGGAAUUCAUGCCUAGACAGUUUGCAAGGUAGAAUAUAUAGAAAGCAAAUUAUAUGUCCCACUGUGAUAUUUGCUGAUGGCUCAUGAUAAGGUGUAGAAUAAUUGAUUUCAUUGGCUUUAGUGGGAUUCUGAAGGUUUUAAAUGUCAGAGACUCUGCUUUCUCUCAUGUACUUUCUCCUAAUUGAAGUUUCUCUUCUCUCUCCCAGUGGAGAAACAUCUAUUAUUUUCUGAAGCAUUUAUUCUUUGCUGUGGUGGAUUAUAGCUGCCUCCUCGUUAUGUUGUUUAAUUGGACUAUUGGCUACAAUUAUAAACCUAUUGAGUCACAUACAUUUACUUGUCUGGAGAAACGAGGCUUUAAUGUUGUAAUGUAACAGAGUAGAAUGGAUUGUAUUCUCCACAUUUAGUAAUUUAUUCUUAUCACUAACGUAUUAUGGAGAAAAUACAUUUUCUUUAAAAAACAAUAGUCAUUUGUUGAAUUGAGAAAACAUGCUGAAGGAUGAUGUGACUGUAGUCUGGUGAAAAUUUAAAAAUUUUAAAAGCAGGGAAGGGUGUGACUGGUCAUUACAGGGCCGUCAGUAAUUAAUCGGGCACAUUCUUACUCUCCAGGGCUGAGGAGGAGGCACUGAAUUGGGAGUCAGUGUUCUGAACAGUCUAAAGUUUCAGUGACUUUAGAAUUAUAAUGGUGACUGGGAUCUUAUUUCUGAAAUUUUGUGGUUUUUAGAAGAUUAAGUGUUUCGUUUAAUACAUUGAAUUGUUAAUCAUCCAUGAUUAUAAGAGUAUGAUAAUGCAAAUUGACUUCUGAACUCCAUGGUAUUAACACUGACGUCCAGUGAGAUCAAGUCUUUAAUCAUUGCUAUGACAAAAUAGUGUAUGUCACUAGAGGCACUGGGAAAUAAAAUUAAGGUAAGACAGUUACAUAACAUUAAUGGUGGUAGAUUCUCCAGACAAGAAACAAUGAAUUAGAGGUUAAAGGGAUGGAUGAAUGCUGCAGAAGCACAUAAGGACCUGAGCUUUGUCCCUGAGCCCCUACAUAAAAAUCCACACACAGUGGUGCACCCUGCAAGCCAAGCCCUUGAGAAGUGGGGAGAGGGGAAAUUCUAGAGCUUGCUCAAUACCUAGUCUUGUUACAUAGGGAAGGUCCAGGUUCAGUGAAAGACUGUGCCCAAAAAAUAGUCAUUGAGGAAGACAUCUGACAUUGACCUCUGGCCUCCACACCUCCAUGCACAUCUGCACAUUUACAUGUAUACACAUACACAUGCAUGUGCCACUUAUGUAUGUCCUCAAGGUAGAAAAUAACAACAUUUUAUAUGAUAAUAUAAGCUUUUCUGAUUAUGCAAUAAAAUAGUUUAGCCAAAUAAACAUAAUAAAUUAGAUUAAUUCAUUGAGUAAUUAUGAGACAACAUAUACUAAUUCUAUACAUAGUAUCAUUGAGAGCAGCUCAUUCUACUGCAUUUUGGCAUACUCAGAUCUUGAACCUUCUUCUCUGGUUCCUCCUUAUGUUUCCCAUCUCUGCCCACCUCUCCUGACUUCCCCAGGCCUCUGCCCACCUCUCCUGACUUCUCUAGGCCUCUAGUCUCCUAUCAUCAUUUUACAUUCUUGCAACCCAAUUUUCACAUAAAACUCCUCUGUAAAAUCCACCUGUAACCUUUCUGGGGCAUUCUUUUUUCUAUCCUCAUGUUAGUCUUUGACCCAGGCAGUCACCACUCUCAAGGAACAAGUCUCCAUGAAGAAGCAGCCUGAGCUUUUAGGCAUCUGCCUUUGCUCAAGACAUCCUCUGUCUAACUCUCUGUGAUCAGCACUCUUCUCUGUUGAACACAUCAGCGCCAUCUGCCUUCUGUCUGCCUGGAGAGACUUGCCACAGUAGAGCUUCCUCAGCCUCACAUGAACCGGUGCAAAGGAUGUGCGUUCCUUUUGCUGAAGCCAUCAAAUAAAAAGGCUUUUUCAUGAAAAGCUAAAUAGAAUACGUGAAGAUUUUCACGACAGUAGGCUUCCAGAUUAAUGAAAUAUUCAUUUAAAUUGGACUUGAAGGAUAUGUCAUUUCUUUUCUUUGAUUAAAAUAUUUAGAGCAUAACACAAAAUCACUGUGUCUUGAAAAAGCCAAACUUCAAGGAAAUUCAGCUGAUGGGGCAUCUUGUUUUCAGUGAGGUUGUUAAAGAUGAUUUUUCAAACCAGGGUCAGGUGCUUGGAACCAUUAGGUGAAUGCUAGGCAUGGUGGCAGUCCUCUUGUGUGCUUAAGAGUUUAAGAGAUUGAACCCAAUAGAUAGUAAGCUUCUUUCAAAGAGAAUGCUAAUUUUAAUGUUUUUAUGAUUUAAAUAGAUUGUAAUAAAUUAUUAUUUCCUAAUUUAGAUGUUGGUAUGACGACUGGGCAGACGCAUGUUCUUGUUCCACAUCAACAUUGUAUGAAUGCAGAGUGUAGCCUGAGUGCUUUAGAAAAGGAUACUUUUAAGAUAUUGGAAGACAUAGUGACAUUAGGAGGAGGAAGGGGAUUAUUGGGCUGUUCUAAAAUUAGCAAUGUGAAGAGCUGGUUCAAACUUAAUUGCCUAGGUGUGUUAGAAAAAUACUUGUAUUGUGCUUAAUAAUGUGAAUUAUCUGUAUCAUUAAAUAACAGGAAACCCGUUUGAGUUUCUUCUUCCCGUCCAAAUAAAUAAAUAAAUAAAUAAAUAAAUAAAUGUAAUUAACACAGUGAAAAA